GCCAGUGGCAUAGUGGUUUGAGUGUUGGGACUAGGAUGCUGGAGACCAGGGUUCGAAUCCCUGCUUGGCC